UCACCGCGUUGAAGAAGUCGCGCACGAGCGCGU
rnacentral:sRNA from 1 species